rnacentral:rRNA from 1 species
ACACAUGCAGUCGAGCGGUAACAGGAGAAGCUUGCUUCUCGCUGACGAGCGGCGGACGGGUGAGUAAUACUUAGGAAUCUACCUAGUAGUGGGGGAUAGCUCGGGGAAACUCGAAUUAAUACCGCAUACGACCUACGGGAGAAAGGGGGCAACUUGUUGCUCUCGCUAUUAGAUGAGCCUAAGUCGGAUUAGCUAGAUGGUGGGGUAAAGGCCUACCAUGGCGACGAUCUGUAGCUGGUCUGAGAGGAUGAUCAGCCACACCGGGACUGAGACACGGCCCGGACUCCUACGGGAGGCAGCAGUGGGGAAUAUUGGACAAUGGGGGCAACCCUGAUCCAGCCAUGCCGCGUGUGUGAAGAAGGCCUUUUGGUUGUAAAGCACUUUAAGCAGUGAAGAAGACUCCAUGGUUAAUACCCAUGGACGAUGACAUUAGCUGCAGAAUAAGCACCGGCUAACUCUGUGCCAGCAGCCGCGGUAAUACAGAGGGUGCAAGCGUUAAUCGGAAUUACUGGGCGUAAAGCGAGCGUAGGUGGCUUGAUAAGUCAGAUGUGAAAGCCCCGGGCUUAACCUGGGAACGGCAUCUGAUACUGUUAGGCUAGAGUAGGUGAGAGGAAGGUAGAAUUCCAGGUGUAGCGGUGAAAUGCGUAGAGAUCUGGAGGAAUACCGAUGGCGAAGGCAGCCUUCUGGCAUCAUACUGACACUGAGGUUCGAAAGCGUGGGUAGCAAACAGGAUUAGAUAC